rnacentral:rRNA from 1 species
CACGUAGGGGACGAGCGUUGUCCGGAUUCAUUGGGCGUAAAGCGCGCGUAGGCGGCCUUCUAAGUCGAACGUGAAAUCCCUGGGCUCAACCCAGGAACUGCGUCCGAUACUGGAAGGCUUGAAUCCGGGAGAGGGAUGCGGAAUUCCAGGUGUAGCGGUGAAAUGCGUAGAUAUCUGGAGGAACACCGGUGGCGAAGGCGGCAUCCUGGACCGGUACUGACGCUGAGGUGCGAAAGCGUGGGGAGCAAACAGG